GGAUAGGAGGCAGACCGGUUAUGCGGUUGUUUUGAAAACAAUGAUAAGUGGGUUCGAUUCCCAUCCUAUCUC